rnacentral:rRNA from 1 species
GACGAACGCUGGCGGCGUGCUUAACACAUGCAAGUCGAACGGAAAGGCCCUGCUUUUGUGGGGUGCUCGAGUGGCGAACGGGUGAGUAACACGUGAGUAACCUGCCCUUGACUUUGGGAUAACUUCAGGAAACUGGGGCUAAUACCGGAUAGGAGCUCCUGCUGCAUGGUGGGGGUUGGAAAGUUUCGGCGGUUGGGGAUGGACUCGCGGCUUAUCAGCUUGUUGGUGGGGUAGUGGCUUACCAAGGCUUUGACGGGUAGCCGGCCUGAGAGGGUGACCGGCCACAUUGGGAAUGAGAUACGGCCCAGACCCCUACGGGAGGCAGCAGUGGGGAAUAUUGCACAAUGGGCGGAAGCCUGAUGCAGCAACGCCGCGUGCGGGAUGACGGCCUUCGGGUUGUAAACCGCUUUCGCCUGUGACGAAGCGUGAGUGACGGUAAUGGGUAAAGAAGCACCGGCUAACUACGUG